CUGUCACAGGAACCAUGUUACAAGAAGCUCUUUUGGCAGAACUGUCCCUGGCAGAUUGCAAUUUCAGCAGCAGUAAAGCUACAGAGUUCUCCCCCACAAAGUCCAGCACUUUUUUUCACUCUGAAGAGAGGCUCAGCUUCAUCUUGGGAGUCCCCGUAUAGAAUAAUAGAAUCGUAAAACAAUUUAUGUUGGAAAACACCCUUCAGAUCAUCAAGUCCAGCCAUCAAUCUAUCACUACCAAGUCCACCACCUAACCAAGUCCCUAAUCAUCACACUCACAUACAUCUGAAACACCACCAGGGAUGGUGACUCCACCAUUGGGUUCAACAGCUUCAUGAAGAACAGCCUUCAACAUUCUCUGUGACGCCAGCCCAGGAUGCCUGGUUCAGAGGCUUCCCUUAGAGAGUGCCCCAGAGCAGAGCAUCUGUGCUAGCAUCAGGAGGUGGGUCCUGCACUCCCAGGGACCCCUCAGCAGCUCUGCAGUACUUUAGUCAGGAUGCCACUUUGGGCAGCAAUGGCCACAGUGGUGCAGCUGUAAACAGGACACAUUGCCAUGAAGAGUCUGGAAUUUUACCGAUCUUAAGAGCUUUCAUGUGGUCAAAAUUUACUGGUGCAACAGCAACAUCAAGAUUCAGCAAAGAAUUCAUCCCAGAUCACUUCAGCAACCAGAGCUGGUGCCUUCCCAGAAAAAUGACUGCAGUAUAUAUGGCUACCUAGGCCACGGUGAGCCACGGUGCAACUACAGAUAGAUACACAUACAUAUGUGUGUAUAUGUAUGUAUAUGGACACACAUAACAGCUUUCAUUUUUGAAGUUGCUGCUCUUAACUGAACCGCUUUGUAUCUUCUUAAGAAAACAGACGUGUGAGGUGAAACAAUUCUGUAUCUCCAGGAUACUUAGAAAACAUCUGAAAAAAUGCACUGUUAUCUGCUAAAUUAAGCUAGCUCUUUCAAGGAGAAAGUCAACUUUCAGUUACUGGAGAGAAAGAACAUGAAUUCCAGAAAAGAAUGGGGGAAAUGUUUAUUGUAUUGUCCAGGGACUUUUUCACUCACCUCCCCAUGUAUUUUUGUGAGAUCCAGUUAACUAUGAGGAACAAGGGCACAUGAGCCCACCCAGUCCAAACCAUUGUGUCUUAGAGAAAUUCAUGAAAGGGCAGACUGAGAUUCUCACUGGCCAAUAUUUCCUCCAGUGCCCUGGUAUCUAAUCAGGUUGUUUUUUCUGCCUUUCUUUUUAUUGUGUGCUAUGAAUACCAUCUGCAAAAGAAAUCACAGUGCCCGUCAUUAACUGAAGCCCUUGCUGUGGACUUGGGUGCUGCUCAAACACACUACCCUGCACGAUGCCUCCCUGAGCCAGCUCCCCUCCUCACUGCCCAGUUACAGCUCUCCAGCCAUUGCUUUCCACCUGUUCUGACUAUUUUGUUGUUGUGCAGCUUCUGGUAUAAAAGAAACAGCUAUUGCUGGAGAAGAGAGUAGGAAGGUCACAAACACUGUUAUGAAAUAGUAAUUCUGUUAAGAACAAUCUGAGCAUUCAACAUCACCUACCGCUGGCCCCAGUCAAACCUCUGUUAGAGUACAACUCUGCUUCUCAGCCAAGAAAACAUUUUUCAUCAGCUUAGUUAUUUCAAAAGAAACUUGAAUGCAAAUCUGACAUUAGGUGGGGAAGCAGAUGCAUUUGGUGAGAGUCUUACAGCUGUGAAAUGAGAGUGAUGCAAUGCUAUUUUUUCAAUUGUUUUUUUCUGAUUAUUGCUUCCAGAUAUUGAAAACUGCUGUUUUCCAAUGGGAAAAUAACCAAAGCUGGAAGACAUCACUGUUAUCAUGCCUAGAUGACAAAAUAAUGCUCCUUUCCUUCCUGUCCUUCCUUUCUUUCCUUGCUUCCUUCCUUUCCUUCUUUCUUUUCCAUUUUUAGAAUAGAUUUAAGGAUUUAUAUAACUCACACCAGAAAGCAAACCCUUGUGUAUCGCUCAAGAGCUAGACAUGUAGUAAGGGCACUAAAGGGUACACGUGCACCCUGAGUCAAUUAAUUGUUUUGCCCUGAUCUGUGAGCUCAUGCUAAAGAAGACUUCAAAAUCCUUGAGUUCUGCUCUGCUUAUAUUCCAGACAGAGGUACUAACUUUGGUCAUUUCUCAUGCAGUGAGUCACAACUCCAGUCAGCCCUUCUCUCCCUUUCUCUGUCACACAUGAAAAAUCCCUGAGGCCAUCUAUCCCUAAUCAGACUGAUUAUAAUUCAGUUCCAAUUCAGCAAAUAUAAAACAACAAAAGCACUGGAACAGGACAGAAAUCUGGCCCGAAGAGCUACAAAUCUAUGAAAAAUAACACUGUUCAACAGUUGUCCAGAUUUAAUUUUAGGAUAAACAUUAGAACACAUCACCUGGGAUUGAUUUAAUAUUUGUGGUACUAAUUUAGAUCAUUUAAUUUGCAGAAUUUUUGGUUCAUCAUCUGUUCCCACAGCUCAGUCAAUACUGUGGCUCAGCUCACAAAGGGAAUUGAUCUGAAGGCCAUUCUUUACAAGACAGAUUAAUUUUUGUUGAUUGAUUGAUUGGACUCUUUCCACUACGCAUACUAAUUCUGGACCAUUUAAAGCUUAUAAGGUUUUAUAUUGAGAUUCAUUGAUUUCACAGUUAUAAAAUGAUGAAUGGGUUUUCAGCCAAGGGAAGGCAAUUGAUGUAAGCUUGAGGAGAGAGACCAAGAUAAUCAGUAUAUAGUGGAAAGUGCAGAGCUGCAAUGUUCCCUCUGUUUCUGUCCAGAUUUUCCCCAGAUGGAAGGGGAUCAAAGCGAUAGUAGGGCCAUGUUGGGCACUUUUGCCAAGUCUGCACCGCAGGCUUUGCUGCUUCCCAGCUCUGAUGUCCAGGUAAAGAUCUCCUGAUUAAAACAGAACUGGAGGAGCCAGCCUAUCCCUGGCUUCAUCAUAGCCACCAACCAUACACUUCUUACAGCCUAUGGUUCUGCCUUUUCUUCUUCUUUUUCUCUUUCUUUUUCUCUUUCUCUUUUUUUUCUUCUUUUUCUUUUUCUUUUCCUUUUUCUUUUCUUUUUCCUUUUCUUCUCUUCUCUCUUACUGGGGCUUAUUGAGGGUUUUUAUCAUUCUUCUUCAAUGCUCUAAAAUCACAUAUCCUCCCUGGGAAAGAAUUUAAGUAUUCUGAUUGUUAGAAUGUGCUUUCAUGUAAAAGUGCAACAUACAUGGUGCAAUAUAUUCAUGUAUGUUGCCAAAGGUACCCAAACUAAUAUCAUUUUAAGAUAAAAUAUUGUGUCUUUAAAAGUGUUUUUGUAAUUAAUUUCCUUGUACUUCUAGAAGGACAAGACAAAGAAAUUAAGAUAAUUGCCCAUGUUUCAGAAGAUUUUGUAUCCACUAAGUUAUCUCCUAAAAUUUGCAGGAUAAAAUCGAUCUCAGCAUCCUAUUUUCUAUAGUCAGCCCCCACACAGCUGGGAAACGUAAGCCUUUUAUUCAGUGUUUUUUCCAGGCAGUGUUUAAAGUGUUACCAAAAAGUCUUGGACUUGUAGCACUGGCGGGGAUCUUGUCACUGAGGAAUACCAGCUGAGAGAGCACUUUGCCUUCUGUAUCAGCUGUUUGGUUUUCCAGUAUGGAUGGAGGACUGUUCUUCAGAGGCUGAGCCUCAUUUGCAUCUGGUUCCUCUCAUCAGACUGCUACAUUCAGUAACCUUCAGCUUACAAAGCAUUUCUCAAUAUUUUAGAUUAUAAAGUCUGGAUGGCUAGGAAAUAAGCACCACCACAAGUAAAUAAUAAAGACGUGAAUCUGGAAUAUGAUCCUGCACCGGACAUGUUAAGCAUCUUCUCCAGAGGAAAGCCAUCCAGCUUGGAAUCUGUAGAAUUCUUUUGGUUAAAAGAACUUGAUCUCAAGCCUCUUUCUUUCUCCAAGUCAUACUGUCAGGAUUUAGUUUCACAGACCAUUCACUACUUUGUACACUCCUCACAAAUAUCACCUUGGAAGGAGAUUUAUCUCUCUCUACAGAGAGAGAAACGCAAGCUGCUUCAAUUUUAUCUAGUUGUCAUACUGUGUGUAUUACGAACUACCACUUCAGUCCACUUCUUGUUCCAUCAAAUGGCUUCAAAGCAGGUGAUACAUAGAUGGUCAAGGAGGAAAGCACUUCAGGGCAAAGUGUGUUCUGAGCUACACUUGUAAAUGAGCAGUAACUUUUGAUUUCAUUGCAGUAACACUGGUUUCUACACCACUAUAUUUAUCUGUCACUUUAUUUUUCUCUUCCAUCAGAGAGAUUUGUAGACAUAUUGUAUUUAGAGACGUUGUCACGCUGAAAAAUAAAACUACUACCCAACAUUUUACUAGUUAGAAUUAAUUUGACAUGCAACUUAUCAUUUUGCAUAUCACUGGACUAUAGCCUUUUCAAUUACACCAUUUCUUUGCAACUCCAAUUAAACUGUUAAUUGAUGUCACUAUUGUCAAAUUGCAAGCAUUUUUUUACAUACAAAUAGCAAGGAAAAAAGAGAGAAGAUCCAGAAUUAAUAGAAAAUAGCAGCAGGUUUCCAGUCUCAGACUACUUUCUGUAUCUUUAUAAGACCACUAUACUAUGCUGGCUGAGAGUUGCAAGAAAAUAUGUACUUAUAUAUUUUGUUAAUGAUAGCAUCGUUCUUGUGUGCUCUGAAAUUAGGACACUUUCUCAAACAAAGGCUGUACAACCAAGUACUAACAGGACUCUUGGGUAUGCUUCAGAAGCUAGAGCUAGAAUUCUUCAAAGCCUGCCCAAAGAGAAUGUUUCUCAACCUCUUCCUAUAAAAAAAAAAUUCUGGAAAAAAAAUUUAUAAAAACAGCUGAACAACCAAUUCUAUUGCUUGCCCUCUGCAACAUCAGCAUCAUGGUGCUCAUAUCCAAAGAAGCCAAAAUAAAUUUUCUGUACCGGUUCAUGAUUAUUUUCACCCUUCUAGUUUAUUUGCUUUUUUGCACACAUGGAAAUGUAUGUAUGCAAUUGUAUUUGUACAUUUGCAGAUAUCUCACAGGCUGUUUUUCCAUAUUGCACACAAACACAACCACAGCCAAAAGGUUUUGAAGCCUGACUGCUGUUAUGCUGUGAGGCA
ensembl:lncRNA